AAAGAUUAAGCCAUGCAUGUCUAAGUAUAAGCACUUUAUACUGUGAAACUGCGAAUGGCUCAUUAAAUCAGUUAUCGUUUAUUUGAUAGUACCUUACUACAUGGAUACCUGUGGUAAUUCUAGAGCUAAUACAUGCUAAAAACCUCGACUUCGGAAGGGGUGUAUUUAUUAGAUAAAAAACCAACGCCCUUCGGGGCUCCUUGGUGAAUCAUAAUAACUAAGCGAAUCGCAUGGCCUUGCGCCGGCGAUGGUUCAUUCAAAUUUCUGCCCUAUCAACUUUCGAUGGUAGGAUAGUGGCCUACCAUGGUGG
rnacentral:rRNA from 1 species